UCCAACCCUGGCAUAUCUUGAUAAGACCAGGCAAAGAUGUCGACAUACUCUUUUAACAAUGCUACCAUUCUGCUCUUGACACUUUCCUCCAAAGCAGCCCCAAUUUUCACUUCUUUCUUGACCUCGUCGGUACCCAGAUUCACAACCUCGAUCUGUUCUUCGUGUGGCUGAAUCACCUUCUCCUCUUGUUUCAACAACCUGGCUAAUUCC
rnacentral:lncRNA from 1 species